CAGCCGUAAACUAUGCUCGCUAGGUGUCAGGCAUGGCGCGACCGUGUCUGGUGCCGCAGGGAAGCCGUGAAGCGAGCCACCUGGGAAGUACGGCCGCAAGGCUGAAACUUAAAGGAAUUGGCGGGGGAGCACAACAACGGGUGGAGCCUGCGGUUUAAUUGGACUCAACGCCGGACAACUCACCGGGGACGACAGCAAUAUGUAGGCCGGGCUGAAGACCUUGCCUGAAUCGCUGAGAGGAGGUGCAUGGCGUAGACGUCU
rnacentral:rRNA from 1 species